rnacentral:rRNA from 1 species
UGGGGAAUAUUGGACAAUGGGCGCAAGCCUGAUCCAGCCAUGCCGCGUGAGUGAUGAAGGCCCUAGGGUUGUAAAGCUCUUUUGUGCGGGAAGAUAAUGACGGUACCGCAAGAAUAAGCACCGGCUAACUUCGUGCCAGCAGCCGCGGUAAUACGAAGGGUGCAAGCGUUACUCGGAAUUACUGGGCGUAAAGCGUGCGUAGGCGGUUCGUUAAGUCCGUUGUGAAAGCCCUGGGCUCAACCUGGGAAUUGCAGUGGAUACUGGCGAGCUGGAGUACGGUAGAGGAUGGUGGAAUUCCCAGUGUAGCGGUGAAAUGCGUAGAGAUCGGGAGGAACACCCGUGGCGAAGGCGGCCAUCUGGACGAGUACUGACGCUGAGGCACGAAAGCGUGG